rnacentral:lncRNA from 1 species
UUUUUUUUUUUUUUUUUUUUUGCAUCCGCUACAAGGGGAGUCAUUUUGUCCGGGGGUUACCGACUAGUUUAUAAUUUUAAAUGAAGAAACCAACUAUAAGGUGCCAUAAACAACCGCUGAUUUUUUGCCGAAAUUAAAAAAUUACUUUUGCAACCGCUCAAGUCUUGGUUUAGCGGUCAAGACAAUCGAAACAGACUUAUAGCUGUUUGUUUGAUAGAACAACAACAUCAAUGAGACAGCCAGUGAGACAUAUAUAGCAGUUCCAAGUAUGGAUCCAUUCUAGUUUGAAAUGAUCAACUCCUGCUGUAGAUCCAACAAUCCCAUACUUCAGCUGUUCAUUGCAAACAAAUUUAGUGAAAAAUUAAAGAUCCUGUUGUUGCUGAUCAUUAAACUGUGCAUCCACCAUCAACCACAAGAUUAUGCCCUGUGAUAAAUGUAGAAUCAUCGGAGGCAAGGAAUAAAGCAGCAUCAGCAACAUGAUCAACUUUCAGUAUAGCUUCUUUCAAGGAAGUCUGAGGCUGAUGAAUCUUCUCUAAUUCCUCAACAUCCAUAUGAAAAUAGUUGCACGCUAAUGGUGUAGCAACAACAAAUGGUGAAACAGCGUUGACUCUAAUCCCAUGUGGCCCCAACUGCUUACUAGCACAUCUCAUCAGCCCCAGAACUGCAUGUUUCGACAUGUAAUAAUCUGUCGAAACUUCUCCAGCUGUAGUGGCUGCUAUACUCGCCGUGCAAACUAUGCUGCCCUUUACUCCCCUUUCCACCAUCGCUUUUGCAGCAUGUUUUACACAUGCCGUCAUGCCUCGUACGUUGAUAGCAAAGAGUUGAUCAAGUUCUGAGAAGUCAAGAUCGAUCACCAAUUGAUUUGACUUGCUAAAUACUCCAGCAUUGCUGAACAUGACAUCUAGUUGGCCGUAAGUUUGGAUGGUUGAAUCUAUCAUUCUCUGGACUUGCUCUUCAUCAGCUACAUCACAACGGACAUAGCUGCAGUUUUUUGAACCAAUCGAUUCAGCCACGGUUCGGCCCUUUUCGUCUUGGAUGUCAGCGAUCACAACUUUGGCACCAUGGUUGGCAAAAAGUCGAGCAGUUGCCUCGCCGAUGCCGCUAGCACCACCUGUUACGACGGCAACUUUGGCUUCCAGCUUUUUGGUGAUGCUAGAAGGUUGUUGCGCCAUCUCUCUCGAGGAAAAGAAGAAAAAAAAAAGAUUUUUUUUUUCAGGAAGCUAGUUCUUCUUUAGGAGAAAUUAUAGUUGUACAAUGCAUGUAAAACUUCAAGGAUUGCUGCUUUAUAAUACUACCAUAUGUCCCACCCUUGCCUAAUCGUGCGCCAUUGUGCCUAUAGAGUAUUUUACUCUAUAAUUGGAAGUCCAAACAAGUUGCCAACUCAUGUUGGAAGGCAUUAUGUACUUGGAAUCUCUGAUGUUUUCUAGGUAAUACUUAAUGAGCCCAAGUCAACGAUGGAGAGUUGGUGUGUUGAGAAUUGGGAAUUUUAUGCAGGCCUAUAAUUUACAGAACAAAUUGAUGAUCCCAGAAUCCAUUUAGCAGUGGUCUAACAUGUUGUGUUAUCUCACCCACUUAACAGACUAUCGUUUGAUUCAAGCCUCCAAUCCAGAGUCUAAUAUGUUCUCUGACAGAUUCAAGCCUCCAAUGCAGAGAUUUCAAUUGAUUAGAGCAUUUCUCAAGAGGAUCGGCUGGUUUGCAACUUUAAUAACCAAACAAAACAGCUCCUUUAUUAUUAUUAUUUUUUGGGGUCCGUUCAGGAAAAUUUAAGUCAAGAGCAGCUGGCAGAACUGGACGUAAGCUGAUUGGGCUAAGUCUGGCCUUGAAUUAGCCAACCACUUGGGGCCUGAUCAAUGUUCAUGCCGUAGAGAUUAAUGUUGCAUUCCUAAAUAAUCACAACCACAAUCCUCUGGGAGAAACUCCCAUUUGAGAGGCCGAAUCUGUCAGUCAUGAACUGUAGAGUGAUUUGAUAUCAAAGUUGUCACAGAAUGAGAUGAAGCGCCAGGCAGUCCAGAAAAUACAGGGGACGACGUCUUACUAUCCAUGUUAACUAGUUAAUAUACCAAAUUCCAAAUGUUAAAACCCCCAUGAUAAUACUGAAUCCAAGUUCAUGACUUCAUUCAUAUUUCAUUCAAUUAACACACCAUGCAAGUAUUGUAAUUGAUGAAGGGAGGGGUGUUCGCUUGAGGACUUGAAGCCUUUGAAAUGAAGCUUGCAUUUGGGGGAAAUAAUCAAAUCUAGCAUGAUCCCUCAAAAAAAAAAAAUUUUUUUUUUUUUUUUUGGAUAAGCAAGAUAACUUCAUUUAAUUCACUGAAAGCUGACACUCCAAGAAAUACAGCAAGUAGAAGGGAUGGUCUGAUUCCUUAUUUUGAUAACAAGUAGAAUGUGUCAGGAAAUAGAGUCUUGUUCCUCCCAAUUCAUCCAUCAUACGCGGGCUUGUUUUGGACCAUAUCCGCAACUUGGACAACAUAUCGAGAGAUUGAACAAUCUUUACAAAUUAACCUCCGCUUAACAGAGUUAGAAGUACUUUUGCUAUGGUUUCAAUCUGAGUAAAAAAGCAAAAGAAACAACAUCCAGGAUGAGUCUAAAGACUGAACUAUAUGAUCAGAAUACAUUGCUGGCCUACUUAAAAGUAAGGCACUUAUCUAUCAAACUCGUGUAUUUGACAAGUUUUCUGGUCAGGGGUUCAUGAUCCCUCCAUCAUUGAUGAAUUCAUGGUGCUGUGGAGUGCUCUAUUCCGAAGCAUCCUCCUGCCUCCAAUGUGUGUAUUUUACAAGUUUUCUUACCAGCUAACCACUCCCAAGAAACUGUAGCACGAGACAGAAGAUUGUAAAUCAAUAAGAUGUUAAAUGACUUAAAUCAGAAGGAAGAAAAGUAUAAAUAUGAAAAAGAAAAGGAGGAAAACUAUAUCCUAGUAUACACUCUAUAGCUCCAUAACAUCAGCUCAGAGAAAUACUUCCUUCAUUUACAAGGGGUUUUUUUUUUUUGGGUGAGAGUAUUUUUAAGUUUUGCUGGGUCCACGAUGUGACACCGUGUCAAGAACAAAACAAGUAAUAGCAUAUGAGUCAUUGACGGAGUGGGAGAUCAAUUGACAUUUUUUCACAAGCUCAUCCUCUGAAUUUUCUGCUAAAAUAAUCAAUGCCACAACUUUUUCUUUCUUUUCUUCACUUUUUUUUGCUGUAGAGAUCUAAUGAAAAGUAUAAUGUCAAUCAGAUAAAAAGAUAAUUCGAUACUGAUCUCCUCUACUUUGUCCUUCUGCAAUGACGUAUAUAUCUUGUGCUCCUAUCUUCAUUAUUGGCUUCGAAAAAGUACGAACCAACUUUGACGACUAAUUAUUCAAUUAAAACCAGAAUAAAAAAGAUUUAAUUUCUCACGGCUUUCUUGAGGAUGAUCGACCUGGGGGAGAGGGUGGGAAAGAUUAUUGAUGAAACUACAAGAGAAAAUUCACAACAAGAGAGCAAAAAAAAAAAAAAAAAGUUCACUAGAUUUGAUGAAGCAAUAAACUAGUAGAUUGAAGGGUAUAUUGAUACCUGAGGGAACGAAAGGCAAGGUGAGAAGAGAGAGCGUGGAAGAAGAAGUUAACUCCAUGAAGCAACACCACCACUGCCGUGCAACCCAGCAGAAAAAACUCCAUCAUCAUUCCUUCCCUUCUCCUCCCUGAUCUUAAUUAGUGGCUUCCUCACUUAAUUUGGAAAAGAUCAGUUUUCCAAAUCCUUGUUGCCAAAAACUCAAAAGGUGAAAGCCAGCCAGCAACUUUUUAGAUUCUUGAAUCAGCCCAACUUAUCUCGUAUAGUAAUUAAUAAAGAAGAGGAAACUGCAAUAAGAGGAAGAUAUAUAUAUAUUUAUGUGUUAAAAGUAUUUUGAAGAGACCAGAGCACAACAAUUUAGUCCAGUCGGUGCAAUAUAGGAGGGUAAUAGAUUAAUAAAAUAUAUAUACCAGAAGAAUAAAAAUUGUCUGGACAAUAAUUGAUGGGUAUAUGACGUCGACGUUCCUAUCUUAGCUAUAUAUCCUGCGUGCAUAUGAGGGUGAUAUGAAUAAGAUUGACACUAUUCCUAUCGCCUUCAUCACAACCCCUUUGGAUACAGAAGAAAUGCUUUUGGGUAUUCUCCGAUCAUUUUUCUGCUUUUUAUUCUCCAUUAGUAAUAAAUGAGAAACUACCGGACCUACCCGUCGCCACCAACCCAUUUCUCCUUUCACGGAACUGUGGAGCUAGUUUUGUUGUUCCUCUACAACUGUCCACAUAUUAUUAAAGAAUUAAUCUUCUAAAUUGAAAUUUUGUAUAUAUGACAUGUAUUUAAAUUCGAUAACGUGUACCUCAUCAUUAUAAUAAAAAAUAACCCUAUUAUUAAUGCAAUAUUCUUAUUUUUAUAUUAUAUAAGAAUGGGUUGUGGUUAAAGGAAGUUUGAAUUUCAACAGUAUGAAUAAUAGGUUUUUGGGAAUGUGGAAUGUUGUGUAGCUUUUUUAAAACUUUUGGUACAAUUGAGAGCAGCACGUGUUUAGGUAUAUACUGAAAUGAACUCAUUUUGGUACAUUUAAAACUUUGAUUUAUGAAGACAUCUGUGUAUUCUGUCCGCGCGCCAAGUUCCGCCACGCGACGCAGGCCACGGACAGGGCCCGCACGCCACUUCGCGAAGGCCCAGCUCAUCUGAGUUCCGCCGCCCGCAGCUCCACCUCCGACCGCUGCUGUUCACGACACCAAACGCUGCACCUCCUCUCUCUUCGCCGCACGCCACCCGCUGCUGUCCCCUUUCAUUUGGUUGUCAUCCAAGGUGGAGGUAAUUGGAACUUGUCCCCCAUUCUCUUAAUAACUAAUUGGUGCUGCCUGGGUUGCUCAAUAGUUAAUGUUGUUGACGAUUGAAGUUUAUUUUCUCAAUUGGUGAAUUCCACCAGUGGUACUGGUCGGACUAUUUUCGCUUGGAAUUGCUAUUUCUUUUGGGUUGGGUGAAAUUGUGCAAUUAAUUGGCCAACUGGAGCCAUUUGUUGGGACUUUGGGUGAGCUGAAAUAUUGCACUUGUUUGUUAAAUUGGGAGGCCUCUAUACCAUUUACAUUGCUUAUUCCAGUUCAGUGCAUCUAGUUGAAAUGCUGGGGUUCAUUAUUAGAUUUGACUGAGAAUCCUGUGGAUACAUUGUUUGUUGUGUGAAUUGAGCUACAUUAUUUGGGGGAUCUCACUAGUGUGGGUUAGUAGCCGUUGAACUUGUUUCAUCCAUUGUUUGGGUAUUUUGGCUUCGCUGGGUCACUUCUACUCUUUUGGCUGACUGUUGGAGGCUGGGCACUUGGAGUUACUCUGCUACUGUCGAAUUUAUGAGUUAUUAUUGAUUGCAUUGUUAUUUCUUGGGGCUGUUGCUACAAUUUCAGUUGAUUGAGUUGUGCAUUCCAUUUUCCGCCAGUGGUACUAGUUGGAGUGUUUUCCCCCGAAUGUGUUUACUCUAGCUGGUUAGAUAUUCGAUCAAACUGCCAGGAUCUUGUGGCUAUGUUGCUCUUGAUAAACUUUAGGGUUGCUAUUGCUAGAUUUAGCAUAUUAUUGGGGUAUUCGUUAAAAUUUUAGAGUGCAUUUGUUGAGAUUAGGAAUGGCCAAGUUUGCUUGUUGACUGACUGAAUUAGGUAGUCCCUGUGCUUAUUGACGUGACUUUGCUAGUUCCCAGUUAUUGAUAAUAGUUUCUGGUUGUUGAUUUUGGAGUGCAACUGUUGCUUUAUUGACCAUAUUUGGGCUUGAGUGGCCCGUGUUUGCUUUUGCAUUUGACUAUUGAGUUGGGGAACACCAGUGACUAUGGAUUUGCAUUUGUUGGUUGCUAUCUUUGUUGGAUAUUCUGUCUUUUGUUAUUUGGGGUGAUAAUUGGCGUCAAUGGUGAGUGGCGCCACUUACAAGUACAGGUUCACAACGGAGAUGAGCGAAUGACGAAUAUCACCCGCCAAGUGGCAAGGAUGUCUCAGAACUCGGCUUCCCUCCACUGUUCCCUCCUAUCCCUUAGCUGUUCAACAGGGAAGUUUCAUUGUUCUCUUCGUUUUCAUUACUUUAUUACCUCCAUUGAGGACAAUGUAGGAUUUAGGUGUGGGGGGAGCAGUUAUGGUGCUAGUGUCUUUCAUUCAAUUUUUUUUUCUUUUUAGUGAUUGGCUUGUAAGUGCAUGCCAAGGUUUGAUGUUGGAUUAUUACCUCUAUUUCUACUAUUGCCAAUUUUAAUAAUAAAAGGGUAUCAAGUUAAUGUGGUUGAAUCCAAAAACAUCUCUUUGGUGAAUAUCGAUGAUUGUUUUACUCUUAUAAUUUUUGGUUAACUUUCCUAGGCAUAGGGAAUGAUUAUUGGCAUUUUCAUGUGAAUUGGUCCGGUUAUUAACUUUAGUUCUCCAUGUUUGAAAAUGAGACUAGCUGAUGCAAGUUUUCUUUUGGUUCUUGUGUUAUAUUGAGUUUUUGUGAUUUUUAGCUAUGAAUAAACUUGACUGUACUCCGCUAGUAUUUACUACCGAGUAACCGGGGAUUUUCACCAAAAGUGUCGAUUCUCGCGUCAAAAAGUAGUAAUUGCUAUGAGUACGUGGUCACGUGGCGAUAGAAGCUGAGUAACCGGGCUCCUUCAUCCGGCCAAUGUUGAAGUUCGCGUCAAAAGGCUCAAAUGGCUAGCGACUAAGUCUUUUGUUACUAUUGAAAAAAAAAGAGAAAAAAAAAAGAGAAAAAAAAAAGAGAGAAAAGUAGGGAAAAAAAAUAUGAAAAAAAAAGUGAAGGUUGUGUUAGUGUGUAAUAAAAGUCAGCUUGCCGAAUUAUGGAUUUAAUGUUGAGAUUUUGGUUAAUAGUUGGACCAUUUGCUGAUAAAUGUUAUGCAUCAUUCCUUUUUCUUAGAUUAGUUAACUUAAAAUUAGAGGAGUUUGUGGUUUAGAAGCUAACCGGAAUGAUGUUUCUUGGACUUGACCAUUGAUGCUUGAUUCUUAUUUUUCUUGGUACCUUGGCAAUUUGUUGGAUAGAGCAAUGACCAUUAUCACAUUUUGGUAUCUGUUUACUAUUCUCAUGCUUGAGGACAAGCAUGGUUUAGGUGUGGGGGAAAUUGAUAGGUUGCGAUUUUAUCAUUUAUUUUAUUAUUAAUUUCUCCUAUUACCUGACCCAAUUUGGAAUAAUUGUUAGUUUCUACUCAUUUUUAGUAUUUUACAUAUAUUUCAGGGAGUAGAACGAAAAUACCAUAAUAAGUGCCGAUUUGACAGUUAUCAGGAAAGAGUUCAAGUAGCAGGCAUCCAGGGCAUUUUUGGAACAAGGAGAUACAAGUCCUUUUUGGUAAUUCGCAGAGCGCAGCAUUAAAAGGAGGAACGAAGGGCUGAAGUGGGGGUCUUCUUCUUCCUCUCCGGAAGGGGAGCCGCCGCACAUUGGAGAGCUUUUCGUCUUGUAGCUUAGCCGUAGUUGUUGACUUUUCUUCUUAGUUUUUGUUAGCUAGUUUCUUUCUUACGUAUGAAGAUUGCUGAGAAGCUUAGCUUUUGUUUUUGAUUCUGCCUAUUCAAUUUCUCUUCUCCGAAUGUCGGACAAAAGCAAACACACUCAGUGGACUCUCGUAGCUUCCUUUCUUUAUUGAAUGCCCAGCUUCCCAAUUGAUGGCCGCAGCCUUUGCUUCAAUUUCUUGUGGGUUUAGUUCAUUAAUUAUGAACUAAUUCUACAAUUCUAGUCAAGGGACAACUGACGAUUUGGUUCGACAACUACUGUGAGAUCGAAUCUGUUUUAAUUAUUUUCUUCAUUUAUUGGUAUUUAUAUGUUCCUUGAUUUUAAUUGCUAUGGCCUUGUGUAUGAUUGAUUAGUGCGCAAUAAUUAAUUAUUCAUAUAGGCUAUUUUUGCUAAAUAGGGGUAAUUGAAUCCGUAAUUGUUCGUUAUCUCUACCUCAGUAGCAACUGGCGUAAUUGGGUUUAUGUCAGGGGAGCAUAUGAUCUAAUUUAAACAAACCCUCGUAGCGUGUUUGUUGGUUAGGAUUGGGCCUUUCUAAUUAUUAAUGCAAUCUAGAAAUUAAAUCCUACGGUCGUACUUAGGGUUGUUUUUGGGUUAGAGAAAUAGCUAACGGUCGUACCUUAGCUAUCGAUAAAUUAAGGAAGGGUUGGUUGUUUAUCGCGUGCAUGACAACUAUAACCAAUCUAUUAAUAAAUGUUGGGAUUAUUUUUGCAUCAAUGAUCAGUGCAUGAACCAUUUCUGAAGUAUACCCUUGGCUAGAGUUUCUCUUAGUUAUUUCUUUUAAUUAAUUAUUUUCUGCAGUUAAUUUAUUUAGUUAGCAUUUAUUCCAAAACCCCCCAUACUUUGGACUCUAAAAGAAACAAUUACUCCCAGUCCCUGUGGAUUCGACCCUGCUCACCGCUAUCUACAGAAUUAACUUUAGUUUGAGCAGGUUUUAUUAUUGUACAGGCUUCAACAACCUGUCAAUUUCUGGCGCCGUUGCCGGGGACUGGUGUCAGAUUAAUUUGUUUCUUUUUGAGUUCACAUUGUUUUCAUUUUUAAUUUAUUUUUCUCUUAUUUUUUUUUUAUAUAGUUUAUGGCUGCUAACAUUCCAUAUUUUGAUGAUAGACUGGACUUUGUUCCUGAAUGGGGUUAUGAGACUCAUGUUUUUCCUAAUGAUCAAUGGGCUGUUGCAAAUUGUGGAGCUUAUUUUGACUCAGGUUAUUCAACUGACACAUGCCCCGCAUUUCAAGACAAUCUAAGUGCUCCAAUUGAUACUUUUGGAGAUUUUUCACCCCAAUAUCAAAUGCAGUAUGACCCUUAUUCAAACGGGUAUGAUCAAGGAUGGUGGGAUAAUUCCAGUUUUGAUUAUGCGACUGGGCCAAUGGAUUUUCAACAGCAAGAGUCUCAACAACCAUCGUCCCUGUCAGGGUACCAGCAGCAAUACCAACCCCGACCACCUCCGCCCCCAAGCUCUGGUCCAUCUUUGGAGGAGAUGAUAAAACAAGUGAUGACAAACAUGGCGCAAAAUCAGCAAAGGACGGAGGCAAUUCUUAUGCAAAAUCAACAAAGGACGGACUCCGAAAUGCAGGAUAUAAGGAAUCAGAUAAGUCAAAUGGCUACAACAAUCAAUCGUUUGGAUUCCCAGAACCAAGGUGAAUUGCCAUCUCAACCUGAGUUGAACCCGAAGAAUGUCAGCGCCAUGACCUUGAGGAGUGGCAAAGAGGUUCAAGGGCCUGAGCCUGUGAUCCCUAAGGACAAGGAUGAGGAGAUGCAAGAAUGUCAAAAUGAGAAAUCUACAGAUGCAGUUGAAAAAGAAGCCGAAAAUGAAGAAAUGGAACCCCAACCGCAACCCAUUGAAGUGAAAGAAUCCAGUGAAGAAUCAUCAAAUGUGGUGACACCACCUCCAUUCCCUAACCCGCAUUUUCUUAACUUUUAUUCCAUGAUUUCUGUUAAUGAGAUUGAUUUUGUUAUACCGGAAGUUUUUGAGUCUCAUGGCAGAAAUAAGUUAAGAGUAGCUAUGGUCAAAUAUCUUGAACCGUUGAGUGCUCUUGAUGGAGGGGUGGAGGAAAAAUUGAGAUCACUGCUUGAUUAUUUGGCACCAUCAACUAAUCCAUGGAAGACUGUAGCUCGUGUGCUCAAAGAUUACUCCAUCUAUGAGGGUUACCAGGAUCAUAUAGAGGAUGAAGCAUUAAGACGAGUUACACGAUUUUAUCCUCCAUGAACAAAACAUGAUAAUGUCUAGUCAAAAACAUUAAAGAAAGGCGCUCAUUGGGAGGCAACCCAAUUGUUUCUUUAAAUUGAUUGUUUUGAUUUCGUGUGAUAGUUUAAAUAUGUUUUCCUUGAAUUUGACUGAUUUUGGGUGUUAAUUUUCGUUUUUGCUGAUUUGUAGGUGACCUCCAGGCAUGACGCGCCCACGUGAUGACGAGCAGGAAGCUCACGAUCAGAAACUUCAAACUUCUGGGAGCUCUCUUACCCUCAUGACGCGCCCGCGUGAUGACAUGCAGGAAGCUUACGAUCAGCAACUUCUGGGAGCUCUCUUGCCCUCUUGACGUGCCCGCGUCACGUUCGCGGGAAAGGUAAGGAUUCAAAAAAAAAAAAAAUUCUUUUAACCGUAGCUACCUCUUUUCUUUUUUGUUACAAAAGAAAAAAAAUAAAAAAUAAAAUAAAAAUAGAAUAAAAAUAAAAAACCCGUGAUUCCGUGGUCGGUGAUCCAGUGAGAAUUCUACACUUUGAUAAUCACGCUUUUCCAAAAAGCGCGUUGUCUCUAUCGUAUUCUCAUCAAUUAUUUAGUACGAAGAUUCUGCUCUUUUUCUUGCUCUCCUUUUGGGGCGGUUACAUUAAAUAAUAGAAUGAUUUCAGAAAUCUUCCAUAAAAUUUAUAACAACUUCACUUAGCAUUUUGUUGAAGUUUUAAAAAUACCUCGAAUUAUCCAAAAAAAAAAAGAGAGAGAGAUCAUAUUUUCCUUGCUUAUUUUGUCAACAUCAAAAAGAGACAAAAAAAUGGAAGGCCGCAAUUAAAAGUAUGCAGCCACUUGGAGUUUGCCUUAGCAAAUCAGUGACGUAGUAUCAUGGUCCCAACAGUACCUAUGACGUCUAACGUUACGUAAUUUCCAUUGACGUUAUGGUCUACCAAGCUUCUCUCCGCCCCACCUAUGAUAUAUAUAGUCUUCCCAUCAGCCCCUACCCACUAUCAAAAGCCCCCCCUCCACCACACCACCUAGCUAUGAUCACUUUUUCUCUCAAAAAUCCCAAAAAAAGGUAGACAGUAGAAAUUAAACCACCAUGCAGCAAGCAACACCAUAUACAACCUGGCCUCCGACCACCGCAACCUCCGCCGGCGGCUUCCACCAGCCUCGAGUCACAGCUAAGUGACAGUAGCAAAAGUGCGGAAAAUGAUGGUAUACAAGUAGUACCAGUCAGGUAACGAGACUGGUAUCAGAAAAUGCAGUGAUUGCGUUUGGGAGACGAGGUGCUGCAUGUGCUAUGUUGUCAAGCAACUGUUGCUGGCCUUGGCGUUAAUCCCACCAUUUUUUACGUUGACGAGGAAGAUGAAGGGGCAAUAAUCGAUGAGCUAUCGAAAAUCGCAGGCGUUUUGGAAGGGGAUGGCAAUGGGAAGGUGCAAUUUCCGGCUGUUUUUGUGGGCGGAAAGUUGUUUUGGAGGGUUAGAAAGAGUGAUGGCUACACAUAUUACCGGCGAAUUGGUGCCUAUGUUGAGAGAAGCUCGAGCUCUGUGGCUUUGACGGUUGACUUUGUCUUUGCCAAAAGUCUUUCAAAUAUAUAUAUAUGUAUGUAUAUUUUAAAUUGCAAGAAUCCUAGGUGGUUAAUAUGCUUAGGUUUGUUUCUUCUCUCCGUAAGUUUUCAAUAUUGAGAGAUAUGCAGGGCAGGAGACAUUUCGUCACUGAUCUCCUUGUUUUUUCUUCUUUGUGUAGAGGAUAAGGUUUUAGGACCCGCAGAUCAUGUAAUUUUGAUCUCUUAAACUCUUUCCGAUCGUAUAUGUUUCAUCCUUUACAAGUUUAUCUUCACAAUUCAUAGAAUUUAGCCAAGCAAAUCAUCAAGUCUUCUUCUUCUUGUUUUAUUGUUAUUAUUCUUAUUAUUACUAUAUUGCAAUGACAUGGUGGUUGCAUAAGAGUGUACGAGUAUAUAUCUCUGGCAUAUAUAUAUAUAUAUAUAUAUAUACGGAGAUUAGUGUGUUUGGAUUAUAAAUUAUUUGAGAUAAUUUUGUGAAAAAAGUACAGUAUACUUUUUUUAUAUAAUGUAUGUGAGAUAAAAAAAUAAUUGAAAAAUGUGUUGAUGAUGCAAGCAAAUCAGUGUAUGUAAAUAAAGUGUAAUAAUUUACAAUCCAAACACACUCAUCGAUAUCAUCAGUGAAAAUAUAUAUGGCUCAUCAUCAUCAAAACCCUAGUGUGAUGAUCAUCAGGAUGAUUAUAUCAUUUUCAGAUUUUAACUUUUUCUGACUAAUUGAAAGAUCUGGAUUGCGGCCGAUGACUAGAAUUAGCCAGUGGUUAAUUACUUUGGUUUUACGUGAUCGAUCGCCUCCUUAGUCCUUCCUUAUACUGUCCAAGAAUAAAUCACAAGAUUAAAAAAUUAAGCUAGUAAAAACUUGAAGAACUAGAACAUAACCGACCAUCAUGUGCUAUCUAAAGCCUAGAAGACUUGCAUCAAAGCCAAACUUAAUCGGCACGAAUAAUAGUUAGUUUAAUGAUCACGAGAUCAUUGGUUUUUAUCUCAAACUUUCUCAUCUUUCCCUUGUAAUUAAGACUUGAAGUCUUCUUUUAAAGUAAAAAGAAGAAGGACAAAGGAAAAAAAAAAAAAAAACACCCGAAAUAUUGAUUCUCUAUCUAGGCCGACUCGGGGGAAUAGAAUAAGUAUCUAGGCAGGCAUAUAGUAAGAUUACGUACCAUCGAUUUGUUAAAAAGCCAGUACAAUUACGGGAAGGAAUCUGCUUAUGUAACCAAAAUUUUAUCCCUACGAUUUUCUUUUCUUGAUUUUGUAUGUGAAUAUGACGUGAAUUCAUAAAUUAUUGCUUGAACAGUGAAUUAUUUGUUUAUAUUAUCAACACGUUUUUAAAUUAUUAUUUUUUAUUUCAUAUGUAUCACGUCAAAAAUAUUACAAUGCUUUUUAAAAAAAAAAUUAUCCCAAAUAAUCUAUUAUCUAAUAACCUCCCAUCACAUACAUCACAUCAACCAAGCUCACUUGUUAUCCACAGUCUAUAAUAUCGUUUUCUGCAAUUCUAAUAGAGAUGAAACACGUCAAAAAAGUCUUCUGCGUGUAAGGUAGCAGCCGUGUGCGGUGCAAAGAAAGAGUAAAGAUUGACAAGCAUCCACACACACAAAGCUAGUUAACCUUAUCCAAUCCCUUUGCUAUUCCCUUUCAUCAGUGUAUGGAUAUUUUGAAGCCUGAAUUGGUGCUAUCGAAUCGACGAAGUUCUUGAGACUGUUGGUUGUCAUCGUAUUAAUGUCCCAAUCUAUUCCAUCGCUCACCAGUUACGAAGCAGUGUACAACAUCUUUAUUAACGUGCCAGUACGAGUAGCACCAUCAAAUCUCAUGGCAAUUUUGAUUUUGAAAAGAACAUUACCAAAUUCAUGCUUCUAAUAAUAUCAGAAUCCAGCAAUAUAGAAAGAGCCAAUAACAAACUGUUCAAGUGAUCACUCGAUUUCCUUUAUCACGAACCUGGAUUUCAAUCACUUUUCCAUCCACUAGAAAAAGAACUAAUGUAAAAAAGAUUAUCUUGCGUCUCAAGUGCUAAUACAAUGACUGCCUUUUUGUCAAAAAAAAAAAAAAAAACUAUGUACUCCCAGAUGCAAGGUUAACAAUACUACACCUUAAAUUAAACCAACUGUAGUUCUAUUUUUUUGGCUUAUUCUUCUUGAAAAACGAUCGAUGGCCUUCCACAAUUAAUAGUGUAAUCAUUUCUUCCUGAAUAUUUGAUGAUCCACUGAGACCGUGGACCAAAUAUAACCCCAGUUGACUUCAAAACUAACCCAGCAUUCCCUCCUUUUUUUUUCUUUUUUUUUUCCCCCUUUGGAAUGCUAUACCGAAUCUACAUACGCCUUGUUUCAUCAUGAAUAAUAGAUAAUUGAUUAGUACAAUUAUGCAUCAUUAUCCGUGAGAAAAUCAUUAUAUACUUUGUCUGAUAUGAGCCCCGUGACGGACAAACAGCAUUAUGAAGUCAGCAGUAACUGUCAUUACGUGAGAGGGUUGGUCAUGAUGAGGAAGAUGAUGAUGAUGAUGACCAUGACGAUGCAGCUUAUGUAAGUGUGAUUAUAUUUCUUCUCAUCGAAAAUUCAAUGUGCGCUUCGGUACAAUCUGCCAGUGGGAUUCAAUGGUUGUCCGCAUCGGUCAAUAAAGUUGUUUGCAUUUUUUUUUGUUAUCGAUACGAUAGACCUACAAUUAUUCUAUGCUAUGAAGAGAAGAAGAUCUGAAGAGGUCGGAGAGAAAUCGGAGGCGAUUGAACCACCUACCGGUCUCGUGCACUCGUCUUGAAGUGGCUUAUCAUAUUUUUGUGCCAGUGAUAGGAGACAAGGUUUGAUCCCCUUAACUCCCCCCUCCCCCCCCCCCCCCCCCGGUCAACUUUGGUGACAGCUUAGCUCGGUGGUUUUUUCUGCGUAACUGGGGUCUUCAUGCUUCCCCUUCCUCCUAAAUAAAAGAAGUAUACUAUUAAUUAGUACUACUAAAUUGACACGGUUGUCACUAAUAAUUUCUAUCAUUAGUGCAACUUUCUUAGUCGAGUAGAAGGUGAUUUUCAACUAAUUUAUUAAUAAUAUUGAUUUCUAUUUCAUUAAAAAAAAAAGAUUGACACAAUUCAUUACUCCCCGCAAGGAAGGACUAGUUGAUUGUUAGUUUUUUUUUUUUUUUUUAAGGAUGCAUUUACUCGAUGAUUUAAACUACUAUAAUACUUGCCUAGGCAAGAUACAUGGCAAAUAAUAGUCGACCCACAUAGGCAAAAUCUAAGUUGGCUGGCGUAAUUUCAUAAUUAGAGAGAUCUGAUUCAGUGCUAAGUUUUGUAUCUGUUCUAUUUGUUUGUUCAGUGCUCUAAUUGUUUUCUAUUCUUUAAGUUGAACGAGAUAAUUAAUUACAAGUAAGCUUGUUCGCGUUAAUACGAGAAGAAUGAAGAGAAAAGAUUAUAAGAAGAUACCGGUCAACUCUUUCUUGGUCGAAAUAAAGUGGCGCAAUUCUACCAGGCUUAAAUACGAGAAUCGCAUUAAAGUUGUGUACCCUAAAGGGCAAAAAAAAAAAGGAAAUAUAGUUCAAAAUAUCCUUUAAAAUCAAGUCAGUAAAUUUUGGUCUCAAUCCAAGUUUCCGACUACUUUUUACCUCGAAUCCAUUACAUGAUUCAUGCAUAGUUAUUUUUUAGGGAUAAAAAAGUUAUAUUUCAUUUGUAGUUAAAUAAAUGAUCCGAUUCAUAUUUAUUUUUACCCCUAAAAAAGUAGAAUAUGUUCCAAACCAUAUUCAUUUUUUCUAAAAGAGUGGGAUAGGACCUAAUACAUAUUCAUUUUUUCACUAAAAAAAUGGAAUAUGACCCUUUUGCACAUAAAAAAUUGUCUACACGUGAGUCUAAUGGCGAUUUUAAGCUAAAAAAUUAUCAAAAAAUUUAGCUGGAACUAAAUUUUAUUAACUUAAAUUUAUAAAAGAUGUGAAUUUAACAUUUUAGAAUAUGAAGGAUGAAAAAGUUCAUUUGAUGAUCUGUAAGGGAUGUUUUGAACAAUUUUUUUUUCAAAAAAAUCUUAAUUGUCUCAUAACGAAGCAAUAAAAUAAUUGUUAAACCAUAUAAUUUGUCAUUUUUUUCAGCUAUUAAUCUUUCCCUGUUUCACAUGUUAUAGAUUAAAGUCCGAUGACACUGGAAACUUGGAGCCCACGUACCUAAGAAAUUUCCUAAAAAGUAAAAAGUAAAAACUGACAAAUUCCUCACACUGCCUGGUUGCUGAUUACCGUUUUAGAAACUUGGAGCCCACGUCCCUAAGUUAUUUCCUAAAAAUUAAAAACUAACAAAUUCCUCAAGCUGCCUUGUUGCUGAUUCGUCUCAGAGAAUCUCUUCUUUCCUAUUACUGGAAGUAUUUGUCUUGGAUUUCUUGAAAUCCUAGGGCUAGGAAAAGUUUGUCGAGUCUAUAAGAAAAUCGAUAUCCCUAAUCAAACAUCUUAGCAGAUUUUAAGCGUCUCCAAAGAGAUUCUCAAUUAAAGGUUCGUUUUCAUAGCAUCGAUUGUUUUCCGUUCUUUGUUCUAAUUUUAGUGCAGGUUCUCCCUGAAACUUAAUUAUCAAACAAAUCAUCAUGGAGACCUUAGAGCAUGUGAAAAAACCAAAAUCACAAAAUUAUUGUGUUUUCAUGCAGGAAAAAGAGAGCAAGAAUGAAGAAAAUCCCCACAAAAAGGGAGAGGAGGCAAUCCCUGAUGGAAUAAUGCGUGAAGUUUCUGUUGGGAAGGGAUUAUCUGGAGCCCUGAAGCUGUUGUUAGAUCAAGGAUAUCUCAAGGAAACUAAAGAAUUGAGUAAUCCGAAAACGGGCUCGAAAACAAGCAAGCUUGGCGGGAUUUAUGAUGAUCGGGGACAAAGGGAGAUAAUCAUUGAGAGAAGAGAUGAGCUUGGAAAUGUCAUGAAUGAAAAAGAAGCUUUUCGCCAACUUUGUUAUAAGUUUCAAGGGAAGAGGCCUAGUAAAACUAAGCAAGACAAGCGUAUGCGGAAGAUCGAGAGGGAGAAGAAUGUGAAGCUAUCGUCCCAGAAUUCUGAAGAAAGUAUGGUGCUAAUGGAUAAUGCUUUGAAGAAGCUUCAAAAACCUUAUCUUGUUAUCGAAGGGAAAAAAAGGGCUACAUGAUGAAUAGUGCCCACCUGUUGGCUCGCAUGAAGGUCAAUGGCCUGAGCACCAAGAUGCAGCUCCUCGCAAGAGCACUAAAACUAGUAAGUUCCGUGAAGAUCUGCAAUGCAAUACCCUGAACUUUAGGAAUAUUCUACUGUCACAGUGCACUUUAUCUACUAUUGGUAAUUUUUCUCUAUUGCUUUUACCAUUUUUUUCAUUUUGUUCAGUUCUGUGCCAACUUUUUCUUGUUUGGGAAUGUUUACUAAAAAUUUUUUCUUUAUUAAAUUGGUGAUACAAGAAGCAUAAAAAUUCUGGCUCCUUUCUGGUAAUGCACAAUUUCUGUUGCAAGGGAACAUUUAGUGUCUUACUAAGCAUGCUACAUUGCAAAAUACAAAGAGUGAUACCUGACGUUUUAUAGGCUGAGGAUAGGCAAAAUUCUGUCUUUUAAUCCCACGUAGUUAGCACAGUGAGCCAUGAAGUCAAGCACAUCCCAUAUCGGUGGGGAAGCACAUUUUUGCUGCUAUUUUUACCAGUAACUGAUAACGUUCAGUACAACAGCAAAGUAGGAUGGAAACAGAAUCAUAAGUUGGAUAUGAAUUUAUUUGUCACAAAAAUUUGUUACUUGCAUCAUAAACACGUUUUUCAAACUUUUUUUAUAUUCUUAACCAUAUUUUUAUUUAACAUACAUCACAUCACAAAAAGUACUACAGUAUUAUUUCAAAUAAUAUUUUCAAAUGAUCUCCAAUCCAAACACACUCAUUCUCAAUGAAGCAAAGUUUAAUGCCUGGUUUCGUUUGCGGGUCGAAUCAGCUGGCAAAAAUCCUGUAAUGCGAUCCAAUAUAAUUAACAACUCAGGUCCUCAAAUCCAGUCCGUUAUCGGUCUACCAGUAAUUGCCUAAUUGACGAGGAAAUUUGAAGCAAAUUUAAAUGGAAACAGAGUGAUGAUCAAAGGUACACCCUUCUAUUUUUAACACCUAAAACAUGUAGACACAAGACACCACAAUUUUGGCCCAGAGAGAGAGAGAGGAAUGGAUGUAGAACAAGGCAAACUGAUAAGGAAACCAUUCUUUUGUAGCAUAAGCUUUAAAUUCUCUUUGUUUCUACCUUGUAUAUUUGUUUCCGCUUUGUCCAGAAACAAAUGGAGCAGUAGUAGAAGAAAGAGAAGCGGACAAGAGAAUUUCUACGAUAAGUACAACACAGGUAACAUGAUCUUUCUUGGAAACUACAUAAUAGCAUUUAUACCUUGUAAGUUUGCAAGAGUACACAUUUAAGGUAAUGCAUCCACCCGAGUCCUGUUGCUUUUGUCCUUUUUAUGUCUGAGUGUAACUGAAUCCUCAUGCCUCCACCCAUACUCUAAAUGCAUACUUUAAACAGAUAAGUGAGAAGCAAAUUUAACAGUCUAAUGAAAAAGAAGAUAAAAACCAGAAUGGGUACUCAUGAGAUAAUCUUUGCAUCUCAAUGUAACAGGUGCUCCUGCAAAGAGAAGCUUAAAAGAAGACAUUCAUACUUCACCAGAUAAGGGAAAGAUUCAAAUGAGAACAUGGAUUGGGUUGUUAAGAAUUAGGAAUCAUUAGGUCCAGACCCAAUUAUCCUUGUAAAAUUCAGCUUAAUUUCAACAUUAUUUUGCAAAUUACAGAGACAGACUGCU